GGCAGUCUAUACCCCAACUCAACUGGCUGGUCCUCAGUGCUGCCUGCUUCUGUGCCCAACUUAGAACUACACAUCUGCUGCCUCUUGGUAACAUGUCAUAAGAGUUUCACUCUGUUGCCAGGCUGGAGUACAGUGGCACGAUCUUGGCUCACUGCAACCUCCACCUCCCAGGUUCAAGAGAUACUCCUGCCUCAGCCUCCUGAGUAGCUGGGACUACAGCCACGUGCCACCACACCCAUCUAAUUUUUGUAUUUUUAGUAGAGACUGAGUUUCACCAUGUUGGCUAGGCCAGGAUGGUCUCUAUCUCUUGACCUCAUGAUCCACCCGCCUUAGCCUCUCAAAGUGCUGGGACUGCAGGCUUCUUCAUCAGCCCUAACCCUGCCAACCACUCCUGCCUCACUGAAUGUGCCAACGGAUUGCUCAGCUCCAACCAAGGAAAAGAAGAAGGAAGUUGGAUACUUUAUACCCUCUACAUUGUCCAUUAGCAACACAACCUAGAGCUAGGAUGGAGAAAGAAAAUGCCAAAAUGCUAAUGAAAAAUGUUCAGAUGUAUCACAUAUUAAGCAUACAUGAUCUCAAAUAUUUUGCCUGAUUUAUGCUAUGCAUGCUAUUUUCCAUGUUGUGUAGGCUCUGAUGCUAGUCUACAUUUACAGAAAUCUCCAUCAGCUGUACAAAUGGCAAUUUAAAUACAUUUAACUAUGUGCUAAUAAUCUCAUAAUACAAUUUAUCAUGUAUGAUUGGCAGAAGAAAUUAUUUGGGGCAAAAGCUAUGAUUGUAUUGUUGUAAGUUAUUAUGAAUGCUGGGCAGUGUAGGGCAUGGCACUUGCUACCACCUCCCAGAAAUGUGUAAGGGC
rnacentral:lncRNA from 1 species